rnacentral:lncRNA from 1 species
CGCCUUUCUGGCUCUUCCUUUCCCUCCACCAUUCGUUUCUCUGUUUUUAAGGCUUUUGCUCUUUCGUUCUUCACGGGAGCACAUGGGUCCCACUGAGAAAGAAACUAUUCUGUCUCCUGGUCACCGCUCCCAUAAAUAAAGCUCCCAGAGAUGGGUCCCGAAGAGAUCGGCACAACUGAAGCACAGAAAGAGGCUUCCACCGAUGGAGUAAAAGGUAGGCACGAGGUCUGUGCUGACUGCAGAGAGGAGCGGUUGGCAGAGCCCACAAUUAAACAAGUGCAGGUGUAAUUAUUCGUGAAUGCAAUUUUUUCCGGCAACAAAUACUUGUGGCUAAAGAACUGCCUGCAUUGUGAAAGGGAGCCCAUUUGUGGUCCUUACUGAAGCCGCGUCAGCAUAGUUAUUCUCUUAAUUAAGCCCUGAGCAAUGCCAAAUCACAGAGGAGACAGCUAGGAGUCCUGCUCAGGUCUUGUGAGUACCUUACAGACAGCACGGAAGAGUUACAGAUAAAAGGCACAGACUCGGAAGGAUGCAAAUGACUGCGUUCUGCUUGAAAUAUGAAGAGCUAGCCAGACCGGAACGGAGCCCUGCACCUGGCCUCAGAAGACACAGCUGGUCUCUCCUGGUUGAUACUGUUGCAUCGUCCUCUGCCUUCCGUCAUCCUUUAAAUAUGCCCUCACUUUGACCCAGAGUGGCUGUGUCUUUCUGUUUGUAUGUCUGCCUUGUCUGUCUUGUGAGCUGCCAGAGGAAAACACUUAAGACUUUUUGGAUCAUUUCUUUUCCUUGGCGAAUUCGCAUCUCUGCUGAUAAAAAAGAAAAAGAAGAAGAUGAAGAAAAAAAAAGCACUAAAAUUAGUUUCAGUCAAGCAAAACAAAGUAACCAGCCAACAGAAGGACCCCUG